UACAGAGGGUGCAAGCGUUAAUCGGAAUUACUGGGCGUAAAGCGUGCGCAGACGGUUGCGUAAGUCAGAUGUGAAAGCCCCGGGCUCAACCUGGGAAUUGCAUUCGAGACUGCGUAGCUAGGGUGCGGAAGAGGGAAGCGGAAUUUCCGGUGUAGCGGUGAAAUGACGUAGAUAUCGGAAGGAACACCAGUGGCGAAAGCGGCUUCCUGGUCCAGCACCGACAUUCGAGGCACGAAAGCGUGGGGAGCAAACAGG
rnacentral:rRNA from 1 species